ensembl:lincRNA
GUUGCUUCUUGCGGGCCAUUAGGCCUUCGGGUCCCAGCCACGCCUGGCCUCCUUCGUGUGUCACCUAAAAGGCUGCAGGGCCUGGCGGUUGCUUUUCCUGCUUGUGGUCACUCACACCCAGGGGUGUCUGUCUGGAGAAGUCAUGGAAGGGCUGAGAUGACUACUUAACCGGAGGCAGGGGGCACAGAUUUUAAAAAUGGAGACUCGUUCACUAUGCGACCAUAUGUAACCCCGAAUUCCAGCUCCAAACCGGAAGUUCAGAUACUCCUUAAGUUCAGCUACUAGGAGCUCGGGGGAAGGGAUGCCUCACCCCAGCAGCAGAGACAGGAAGCAGGAGUUGGGGCAUCCCUCUGGCCCCUGCAGACUUGCCAUGGGGUGCUCUCCCCAGCUGCAAGGCAGCACUUCCAGGGGCUGGGGGAUAAGGCCUCCUGGGACAGAGGAAGCCCAGCCCUUCCCUGGCAUUCAGAGAGCCAUAGAGGGAGCAUGACUCUGGAAACCCAGGGGCCAGACUGGCACUGAAGGGACAGCUCACAUGGCCCAAGAGAUCCCCAGGCUCCUCCCCAGGGUGCCAGCCCAGGGAAGAUCAUGCCUUCCGGCUGACCAGUGUCUAUGCAGUCCAAGAGGUGACACCAGCCAUCACCACCCUGUCCAUGGCUUCCCAGCUCUUCCCUGGAAUGAGCCUGACCUGGGAGACGCAUCCUGCUUUCUUCAGGGUCCUCGGAGUUGUGGCCAUGAUGAGCCACGUGGGGCUGUCCCCCCAGACAGCCUGCUGCGGGCUGGGGUCUCUCUUCUCCAAACAGGACGGAACCUCUGCUCUGCCCCACAGCUUCUCUGUGCAGCUGUCCUACUAUGGGCUGGUCCUGGACCUGCAGAGCCUGGGCAGGGACAUCUUCCUCCUGCAGGCCCUCUUUGGGGCCAUGGACUUCCUGGGCCGGGCCACCACUGUCCUGUUGUUCAGGCUCCUCGGUCGCCGCAUGACCCAGGCUAGCUCCCUGGCCCUGGCUGGCUUCUGCAUCCUGGCCAAUGGGCUGGUGCCUCAAGAUCUGCAGAGCCUGCGCGUGGCCCUCGCCGUGCUGGGGAAAGGAUGUUUUGGCAUCAGCCUGACCUGCCUGACCAUAUACAGGGUGGAGCUCUUCCCCACGCCUCUGCGGAUGACUGCCGAAGGCUUCCUGCAGUCGGUCGGCCGCCUGGGGGCGAUGGUGGGCCCCCUGAUCCGGAUGGCCCGCCAGGCCCUGCCUUUGCUGCCUCCACUGACCUACAGUAUCAUCCCUGUGGCCUCCAGUCUGCUUCUCCUGCUUUUCCUCCCGGACACCCAGGGACUUCCACUGCCGGACACCAUCUGGGACCUGCAGGGCAGGACCUGACUGCACAGAGGGAGAAACCUCCGGCUCCAACAGGGCCGCACCCACCACGGGCAGGUCCACCUGGUCCUGCUGUGUCCUCGGAGUCCUGCCCGGGCCUGCCUCGAGCUACCUUCAAUAAUAGCUGAGGCGUGAAUGAGUGAAUGGAGACGAGGCCAAAGAAAGCGCUUUGUUCAGUUGCACCCCGGUCCCCUUUGCCUCCACACAUAUGAGGGGCAUGAGCAGGUGUGUUCUCAUGUAUCUGUGCCUGCUUAGGUAUCUGCAUGUGUGUAUAUGCCCACAUGUGCACACACAUGAAAGCUUGUGUUUCUGCAUUGCACACACAUGUGCCACUCGUGGGCUUGCGUGUGUACACAUGUGUGGCGUUCCUACAUGUGUGCCCAAGUCUCUGUGUGUGCAGAUAAGGUCUGGGGGUGGCAAUAUCACUUCAGGGCUCACAGCCUUCCAGGAUGGAGAAACAGGAAGAUUCACAAGACCCUAGCUGAGGGGGAGCCCAGCAGGGACGGGGACCCAUCAGCAGCAUGGCAGCUGCCCUUCUGUCCCCAACAGCCCUGCUCAAGCGGCAUGGGUGACGAGCGAGCUGAUCGUAUGCAGCUUUCAGAGGCCCAGAUCUUCCAAAGUCUGCGACACAGGUGUUCUUGCUGGAAAAAUAAGAGACCUCUGUUAAAACCACUGAGCACAAAUUACUACAUGGGGACCUGAGUCACAUGUCCACCUGCCUCCCCGGCCCACAGGGAGGCCCAGCCUGCCAGGGCUUCCUGACCCUGGGCUGACCCAGCUCCCCCAAGCCCUUCCCAGAUUCUGGCCCCAGGGCCUCCCCCGUGCUUCCCACAGGUCUCCUUGUCAAAGCCAUUCAUAACAACAGUGACAACAGUAAUAAUAACAAGCAUGGUGUGUUCACCCUGCAGCCAGGAAAUGGUCUACAUUAUUUACAUAAAUCUGUUGAGUCCUCAGAAGAGCCUCAUUGGCCACCCCUCCACCCAGGAGAAAACUAAAAUACUGAGCCGUUAAACAAUUUUCCAAAGGCCACACAACUAGGGCAGAGAGGUAUCAAAGCCAGGCAGCCUGGAGCCAGAGUCUGUGGAUAACCACUGCGCUGCACUGCCUCUCACUUAGGGAGGGUUCACAGGGCUCGUUAAAGCCACGGGCAGCACUGGCUACUGUGAUCUCAGUCUGUGCGACUCUGCCUUCCACAAAGGUGGAGAAGAAAGCUCCUGCUCACACACUGUGUUCGAGAGCUGCCAGCCAAAUCACACCACUGCUCCAGCGAGAGGAGAGGGAUUGCGCCCGUCACACCCCCACUGACCCCCAGCUUCACUUGUUCUCUUAAAAUCACUCCUCUGAACAACAGGCUGCUGUUCACACGACAGAAAAGAUAAUUCCUGCUGCAAGAGCAGGCGAGCCCAAGUGACCCUGACAACAGCCACCAUCGCCACCACCACCAUCACCAUCCACCACGUGGCUUUCCAGGACCAUGCCAGACCCCACAGGAAAGGCCCAGCUCCUGGGAGCCACUGCUGGACUCCAAGCAGAGGGCCCCUGCAACCCAGAUUGCAGGGACUGUCACACAGGGUGGGGGUGGCAUUUGCGCCUGCCUUGCUCCCAGGAACCUGCCGAACACAAGUCAGUGCGAAGUUCAACCUGUUGGAACAGCUCCCGCCUUGACAGCCCAGCUGUGGCGGCUGGUUAACACCUCGCCGUUGAAUUUUAACAUGGAAUAUCAUUUUGACACGGCAAGGAAACCAAAGUCCCUUUGGAGCAGGAAGGCCAGACUCACAGCAGCCGCUGGGCACAGGGAAGAGGAGGAGCAGAGCCAGCUGCCCCGCACUCUCCUUGACCUACUUAGAGCAGAUUUGCUCACUGGGCCAGAGGAGCACUGGCCAGCAGGGAGAAGGCGCUGCUGGCCCCCGGCAGCUCACACAAGAGGGUGGAUUAAAGCCACACGCACCCCCAAGUCUCAGCCACCCUCCCAGAGGGCACGAAGCAAGCUACGGCCACCCCAUGCUGCCCUCCCCAGCAAGCAACUUCCGGUGGGCAGGGGGAGGGGGACACAAGAGUGGCCGCCUUCGACCGCCAGGGAAAAUGCCCUGGAAGUCAGCCUGGGGCAGAGGCUCCAGUGUGGGAAAACUGUCAUUGGAGCGCUGGGCUCUGUGAAGCUGG